rnacentral:rRNA from 2 species
UUAAGUUAUUAAGGGCGCACGGUGGAUGCCUUGGCACUAGAAGCCGAUGAAGGACGUUACUAACGACGAUAUGCUUUGGGGAGCUGUAAGUAAGCUUUGAUCCAGAGAUUUCCGAAUGGGGAAACCCAGCAUGAGUUAUGUCAUGUUAUCGAUAUGUGAAUGCAUAGCAUAUCAGAAGGCACACCCGGAGAACUGAAACAUCUUAGUACCCGGAGGAAGAAAAAGAAAAUUCGAUUCCCUUAGUAGCGGCGAGCGAAACGGGAAGAGCCCAAACCAACAAGCUUGCUUGUUGGGGUUGUAGGACACUCUAUACGGAGUUACAAAGGACGACAUUAGACGAAUCAUCUGGAAAGAUGAAUCAAAGAAGGUAAUAAUCCUGUAGUCGAAAAUGUUGUCUCUCUUGAGUGGAUCCUGAGUACGACGGAGCACGUGAAAUUCCGUCGGAAUCUGGGAGGACCAUCUCCUAAGGCUAAAUACUCUCUAGUGACCGAUAGUGAACCAGUACCGUGAGGGAAAGGUGAAAAGCACCCCGGAAGGGGAGUGAAAUAGAACCUGAAACCGUGUGCUUACAAGUAGUCAGAGCCCGUUAAUGGGUGAUGGCGUGCCUUUUGUAGAAUGAACCGGCGAGUUACGAUUUGAUGCAAGGUUAAGCAGUAAAUGUGGAGCCGUAGCGAAAGCGAGUCUGAAUAGGGCGUUUAGUAUUUGGUCGUAGACCCGAAACCAGGUGAUCUACCCUUGGUCAGGUUGAAGUUCAGGUAACACUGAAUGGAGGACCGAACCGACUUACGUUGAAAAGUGAGCGGAUGAACUGAGGGUAGCGGAGAAAUUCCAAUCGAACCUGGAGAUAGCUGGUUCUCUCCGAAAUAGCUUUAGGGCUAGCCUCAAGUGAUGAUUAUUGGAGGUAGAGCACUGUUUGGACGAGGGGCCCCUCUCGGGUUACCGAAUUCAGACAAACUCCGAAUGCCAAUUAAUUUAACUUGGGAGUCAGAACAUGGGUGAUAAGGUCCGUGUUCGAAAGGGAAACAGCCCAGACCACCAGCUAAGGUCCCAAAAUAUAUGUUAAGUGGAAAAGGAUGUGGCGUUGCCCAGACAACUAGGAUGUUGGCUUAGAAGCAGCCAUCAUUUAAAGAGUGCGUAAUAGCUCACUAGUCGAGUGACACUGCGCCGAAAAUGUACCGGGGCUAAACAUAUUACCGAAGCUGUGGAUUGUCCUUUGGACAAUGGUAGGAGAGCGUUCUAAGGGCGUUGAAGCAUGAUCGUAAGGACAUGUGGAGCGCUUAGAAGUGAGAAUGCCGGUGUGAGUAGCGAAAGACGGGUGAGAAUCCCGUCCACCGAUUGACUAAGGUUUCCAGAGGAAGGCUCGUCCGCUCUGGGUUAGUCGGGUCCUAAGCUGAGGCCGACAGGCGUAGGCGAUGGAUAACAGGUUGAUAUUCCUGUACCACCUAUAAUCGUUUUAAUCGAUGGGGGGACGCAGUAGGAUAGGCGAAGCGUGCGAUUGGAUUGCACGUCUAAGCAGUAAGGCUGAGUAUUAGGCAAAUCCGGUACUCGUUAAGGCUGAGCUGUGAUGGGGAGAAGACAUUGUGUCUUCGAGUCGUUGAUUUCACACUGCCGAGAAAAGCCUCUAGAUAGAAAAUAGGUGCCCGUACCGCAAACCGACACAGGUAGUCAAGAUGAGAAUUCUAAGGUGAGCGAGCGAACUCUCGUUAAGGAACUCGGCAAAAUGACCCCGUAACUUCGGGAGAAGGGGUGCUCUUUAGGGUUAACGCCCAGAAGAGCCGCAGUGAAUAGGCCCAAGCGACUGUUUAUCAAAAACACAGGUCUCUGCUAAACCGUAAGGUGAUGUAUAGGGGCUGACGCCUGCCCGGUGCUGGAAGGUUAAGAGGAGUGGUUAGCUUCUGCGAAGCUACGAAUCGAAGCCCCAGUAAACGGCGGCCGUAACUAUAACGGUCCUAAGGUAGCGAAAUUCCUUGUCGGGUAAGUUCCGACCCGCACGAAAGGCGUAACGAUUUGGGCACUGUCUCAACGAGAGACUCGGUGAAAUCAUAGUACCUGUGAAGAUGCAGGUUACCCGCGACAGGACGGAAAGACCCCGUGGAGCUUUACUGUAGCCUGAUAUUGAAAUUCGGCACAGCUUGUACAGGAUAGGUAGGAGCCUUUGAAACGUGAGCGCUAGCUUACGUGGAGGCGCUGGUGGGAUACUACCCUAGCUGUGUUGGCUUUCUAACCCGCACCACUUAUCGUGGUGGGAGACAGUGUCAGGCGGGCAGUUUGACUGGGGCGGUCGCCUCCUAAAAGGUAACGGAGGCGCUCAAAGGUUCCCUCAGAAUGGUUGGAAAUCAUUCAUAGAGUGUAAAGGCAUAAGGGAGCUUGACUGCGAGACCUACAAGUCGAGCAGGGUCGAAAGACGGACUUAGUGAUCCGGUGGUUCCGCAUGGAAGGGCCAUCGCUCAACGGAUAAAAGCUACCCCGGGGAUAACAGGCUUAUCUCCCCCAAGAGUUCACAUCGACGGGGAGGUUUGGCACCUCGAUGUCGGCUCAUCGCAUCCUGGGGCUGUAGUCGGUCCCAAGGGUUGGGCUGUUCGCCCAUUAAAGCGGUACGCGAGCUGGGUUCAGAACGUCGUGAGACAGUUCGGUCCCUAUCCGUCGUGGGCGUAGGAAAUUUGAGAGGAGCUGUCCUUAGUACGAGAGGACCGGGAUGGACAUACCUCUGGUGUACCAGUUGUCGUGCCAACGGCAUAGCUGGGUAGCUAUGUGUGGACGGGAUAAGUGCUGAAAGCAUCUAAGCAUGAAGCCCCCCUCAAGAUGAGAUUUCCCAACUUCGGUUAUAAGAUCCCUCAAAGAUGAUGAGGUUAAUAGGUUCGAGGUGGAAGCAUGGUGACAUGUGGAGCUGACGAAUACUAAUCGAUCGAAGACUUAAUCAA